UGCACUUAGAGUAUCCCAAAUCUGAGAUGCAGACUUACACUCAACAAUGUGAUCAAAUAGAUCGUGAGAGAUUGAUCUCUUCAACACGAAUUCCGCCGUUGCGUUUGAAGUCCUCCACUUCUUUACGGCAUCGGCAUUAGUAUCCGUGGGUGUAGGGGCGGCCUUGUUGUCUCCACCAACAACCUCCCAUAAAUCUUCUCCAAGAAGAUAAGAUUCCAUGCAAG
rnacentral:lncRNA from 1 species